rnacentral:rRNA from 1 species
UACGAAGGGGCUAGCGUUGUUCGGAAUUACUGGGCGUAAAGGGCGCGUAGGCGGUCCUGAUCGUCGGAUGUGAAAGGCCUGGGCUCAACCUGGGAACUGCAUCCGAUACGGCGGGACUGGAGUGUGGGAGAGGUUGGUGGAAUUCCCAGUGUAGAGGUGAAAUUCGUAGAUAUUGGGAAGAACACCGGUGGCGGAGGCGGCCAACUGGACCACAACUGACGCUGAGGCGCGAAAGCGUGGGGAGCAAACAGG